CGCCGAAACCUUCGUAGCUAACAAAUCGUCUAUGGCAGCGCUUAGUUACGGAACUGCAACGACCUUCUUCUUACUUGCAUUGCACGUUACUAAAACGGUCGACUACACGAUACUUACAGACUGUGGAUUUACUUGCUUUGGUUCUUAUUUGAAAAAUAAACUGUGGCAGCAAAUACAGAGUGAACUUCCGAAAACAAAGCAAAUUAAAAAGUGUUCGUGUAAAUCUCGAAGGAAAAAUCGCAGUAAAAGUCGUGGCAAGGAUCCCAAAUUAUAAAAACACGCAUAACGUAUAAUAAAAUUAAAUAAAUUAAAAACUCUCACCCGAAAACGUAAUGGCUUUCAAUUUCCUUUCCCCUCUAUUUCUAUUCUUUCUCUCUUUCUCUUUUUUUUUUUUAUGAAAAAGAAGGCAUUUAUUUCAUCCGAACUGAAAUGUAAAGUACAAAUUGUAUAGAUAAUAUAGUGAUAAUAAUAUAAUAAUUAAUCGUUAAUAAUAAAUAUUAAUUCAAUUAAUAAUACGGUAUGUUCCAAAGUAUAUUGCGUUCAUAUACGUCUAUAUAUUUAUGCGAUACAAAUAUAUAUACGUAUACACUCGCACGAAUGUCCGUCUGUAUGUAUAUGUUUAUGUAUGUACGCGUAGUGUAUGCGUGUAUUGGUGUGUGUCUGUGUAUGCGUGUGUGUGUGUGUGUGUGUGUGCGUGUAUAUCGAAGUUGUACUAACGGGUUGUGUGACGUGUGUCGGUGGCAGCAUUACAUUAUGUAAUUAAUGAAUUAUAUAUUACAAUGAUUCCUCGUCUCGCCGACGGACGGCCGCAGAUUAAGUCCACGAUUACUUUUCCGUAUACUCUUCGACCUUUCCACGGCUUUGGCCCGCACAUAACGCGUGUCGUCGGCUGCGUUUUUCAAACGUGUCCGUUGAGAUCUCGCUUUUCUUCUUUCCCUUCGUGCGCACGAUUAGGCAGUGCAUAGAAAUUUAUAGCGGAUAUGUAGGAUGGCCGUGAAUUGUUUCCUAAGGCUUCCAAUUCUUUACUUUUCCUUUUUUUAAUCCUUCUUAGGCGGAAUUGCUGCUAUUCUCUGAUCACCGGAGAUGAACGAAGUAUCUUGAGUAUCGGCGAAUUAUCUCGCAAAGAUUUUACUUAUGAUGGGAUUAAACGUUUGGAAAAGGUUUUACGUGGACCAAGGAUGGGCUUGAUCGAAAACGACGGGGAUCUGGGAGUUCAUUUCUACAAAGUGGAACGAGCUUUAAGGAAUGUUUCCCUGCUACUACGGCCUUUCUAUUAAAUUCGUCGCGAUCUACGAUCUUUUUCUUACUUUUUAUUUUUUACUUUUUCUUUUUUCAUUUUUACUUCUCUUAUCCCUCAUUGUCAGUGCUGCCGGCAUUAGGAAAAUAAACAAACAAACAAACGAAUAAAUAAAUAAAUAAAUAAAGAUUUCACGAUUAAAAUGACGAUUUGUUCUUUGGUAAAGUAUCAAUUAUUUGGUAAAUCUUCGACGUACAAGUACAUAUAAAAAAAAAAAAAAGAAAAGAAAAGAAAAGAAAAGAAAA